rnacentral:rRNA from 1 species
UACGUAGGGUGCGAGCGUUAAUCGGAAUUACUUGGCGUAAAGCGUGCGCAGGCGGUUUGUUAAGCCAGAUGUGAAAGCCCCGGGCUCAACCUGGGAACUGCGUUUGGUACUGGCAAGCUAGAGUACGGCAGAGGGGGGUGGAAUUCCACGUGUAGCAGUGAAAUGCGUAGAGAUGUGGAGGAACACCGAUGGCGAAGGCAGCCCCCUGGGCCGAUACUGACGCUCAGGCACGAAAGCGUGGGGAGCGAACAGG